rnacentral:rRNA from 1 species
UUUUUCGGACCAAGAGACCGGCGGCACGGGUUGCGUAACGCGUUAAUGCAAUCUACCUUUUUGCAGAGGGGAUUAGCCCAGAGAAAAUUUGGAUUAAUACCUCAUAGUAUAGUACUUUGGCAUCAAGGAACUAUUAAAGUCACAACGGCAAAAGAUGAGCAUGCGUCCCAUUAGCUAGUUGGUAAGGUAACGGCUUACCAAGGCUACGAUGGGUAGGGGUUCUGAGAGGGAGAUCCCCCACACUGGUACUGAGACACGGACCAGACUCCUACGGGAGGCAGCAGUGAGGAAUAUUGGACAAUGGGCGCAAAGCCUGAUCCAGCCAUGCCGCGUGCAGGAUGACGGUCCUAUGGAUUGUAAACUGCUUUUACACAGGAAGAAACAACGCUACGUGUAGCGUCUUGACGGUACUGUGAGAAUAAGGAUCGGCUAACUCCGUG